UAUAGAUUUAAGACAGACAGCUAGAUACCAUAAACAUACUAUGUAUACACAUGCCAGAGUCUGAGCUUGAUUUGCUAUAUGAUAUAAAAACUAAACUGACGAAAAAAGGUCAUUUAUUCAAAAUCAUAAAAUGCAAAAAAUACAUUUUGCAAAUAAAACAUUUGACAUAAAAGUUCAUAUUUAAUAUGAAAUAAUAAUACAUAAUUAAUACGAAAUUACAUCAACUAAUAUCAUGUCAAUUGAAUAAAUGACAAAGAAUAGCAAAGGUGGGGAGAAAAAUCUGCCACAAAUCCACUCUUAGGCUGAAAGAGUGGAUCUGAAAUCCACUCUACGGCUGAAAGAGCGGAUCCCCCACCCGAGGACUCUGGCGACGUGAAUACAUUUAUAU
rnacentral:lncRNA from 1 species